rnacentral:rRNA from 1 species
UGGGGAAUAUUGGACAAUGGGGGAAACCCUGAUCCAGCAAUGCCGCGUGAGUGAAGAAGGCCUUAGGGUUGUAAAGCUCUUUCGCCCGCGAAGAUAAUGACGGUAGCGGGAGAAGAAGCCACGGCUAACUCCGUGCCAGCAGCCGCGGUAAUACGGAGGGGGCUAGCGUUGUUCGGAAUUACUGGGCGUAAAGCGUACGUAGGCGGAUGCGCAAGUUGGGGGUGAAAUCCCGGGGCUUAACCUCGGAAUUGCCCUCAAAACUGCACGUCUUGAGACCGAGAGAGGUAAGGGGAAUUCCUAGUGUAGAUGUGAAAUUCGUAGAUAUUAGGAAGAACACCAGUGGCGAAGGCGCCUUACUGGCUCGGUACUGACGCUGAGGUACGAAAGCGUGAGGAGCAAACA